AUAAAGCUAUCAAUUGAUUUUGCAGCACACACUUUGCAGACCAGAAGGCAGUGGCAUGAUAUAUUCAAAGUGCUGAAAGGAAAAACCCUGAAAUCAAGAG